rnacentral:lncRNA from 1 species
AACAUUUCACCACAUUAGUUCAAUUAUAAGGCUUCUCUAAACAAAAUGAGCAAGCCAUCUUCGCAUGGCUAUAAUGUAUACAAAGUCGAAAUAUCAUUCUACCUAUAGUCUAUCCUAUACAUGCCUUAAACCAUGAUGAUAUACAAUCUUCUCAGCUCACAUAAUGACUAGAUAGUGUGAUGAUAUCUCUGGCCCUUCCAACUCGAGCUAA